UACGAAGGGGGCGAGCGUUGUUCGGAUUUACUGGGCGUAAAGGGCGCGCAGGCGGUUCUGUUUGUCGAGUGUGAAAGCCCCGGGCUCAACCUGGGAACUGCGCUCGAAACGGCGGAACUAGAGUUCGGGAGAGGAGAGUGGAAUUCCCAGUGUAGAGGUGAAAUUCGUAGAUAUUGGGAAGAACACCGGUGGCGAAGGCGGCUCUCUGGACCGAUACUGACGCUGAGGCGCGAAAGCCAGGGGAGCAAACGGG
rnacentral:rRNA from 1 species